rnacentral:rRNA from 1 species
AGUGAACGCUGGCGGUAGGCCUAACACAUGCAAGUCGAACGGCAGCACAGUAAGAGCUUGCUCUUACGGGUGGCGAGUGGCGGACGGGUGAGGAAUACAUCGGAAUCUACUUUUUCGUGGGGGAUAACGUAGGGACACUUACGCUAAUACCGCAUGCGACCUACGGGUGAAAGCAGGGGAUCUUCGGACCUUGCGCGAUUGAAUGAGCCGAGGUCGGAUUAGCUAGUUGGCGGGGUAAAGGCCCACCAAGGCGACGAUCCGUAGCUGGUCUGAGAGGAUGAUCAGCCACACUGGAACUGAGACACGGUCCAGACUCCUACGGGAGGCAGCAGUGGGGAAUAUUGGACAAUGGGCGCAAGCCUGAUCCAGCCAUACCGCGUGGGUGAAGAAGGCCUUCGGGUUGGAAAGCCCUUUUGUUGGGAAAGAAAAGCAGCAGGUUAAUACCCCGCUGUUCUGACGGUACCCAAAGAAGAAGCACCGGCUAACUUCGUG